UCCGUAGGCGGGUAAUUAAGUCAGAGGUGAAAUACCACAGCUUAACUGUGGAACUGCCUUAGAUACUGAUGAUCUUGAGUUUUAGUGAAGUAGAUAGAAUGUGUAGUGUAGCGGUGAAAUGCAUAGAUAUUACACAGAAUACCGAUUGCGAAGGCAGUCUACUAACUAACAACUGACGCUAAUGGACGAAAGCGUGGGGAGCAAACAGGAUUAGAUACCCUGGUAGUCC
rnacentral:rRNA from 1 species